AGGCCGGCUAGAUACUGUGGCGAGUUGUUGCUGGCCUCUAGGGGCAUGUGCACGCUUCACUAGUCUUUCAACCACCUGUGAACUUUUGAUAGAUCUGUGAAGUCGUCUUUCAAGUCGUCAGACUUGGUUUGCUGGGAUUUACUCUCGGUGUGACAACGCAUUCUAUUUACUUAACACCCAAAUGUAUGUCUACAAAUGUCAUUUAAGGGGCCUUGUGCCUAUAAACCAUAAUACAACUUUCAACAACGGAUCUCUUGGGCUCUCGCAUCGAUAAAAAACGCAGCAAARUCGAUAAGUAAUGUGAAUUGCAAAAUUCUGAAUCAUCAAAUCUUUGAACGCCCUUGCSCCCCUGGUAUUCCGAGGGGCAUGCCUGUUUGAGUGUCAUUAAAUUCUCAAACUCACUUUGGUUUUUCCAAUUGUGAUGUUUGGAUUGUUGGGGGSUGCUGGCCUUGACAGGUGCUCCUCUUAAAUGCAUUAGCAGGACUUCUCAUUGCCUCUGCGCAUGAUGUGAUAAUUAUCACUCAUCAAUAGCACGCAGAAUAGAGUCCAGCUCUCUAAUCGUCCGCAGGACAAUUUGACAAUUUGACCAGUGGGAUACCCGCUGAACUUAAGCAUAUCUAACCGGGGGGAGAAAAGAARAAUCUUUARUGGAAUUCACUAUGGAGUUGUUGCUGGGCCUCUAGGGGGCAUGUGCACGCUUCAMUAGUCUUUCAACCACUGUGAAACUUUUGAUAGAUCUGUGAAGUCGUCUCUUCAGAGUCCGUACACAGAGGUCUGCUGAGGAAUUAAACGUCUCGGUGUGACAACGCAUUACCAACAAGUGUUAUGUCUAAAAGUAUAUUGAGAGGGGCCGUGUGCUAUCAACAUAUAACAACAUUAAUCAGCAUCUUGGGCCUCAGCUCGUAAAAAACAGCAGCGACUGUGCAUCAAUGUUGUKGAUUGCARAAUCUCUGGUGAAAUCACACGACUCUUAGACACCGGGUUUCCGAGGGGCCGCGUUGGUAAAAUUCACACACUGGGUUCUUUCAUGAGAAGUACGAUGUGGGGGCUGCUGCUGACGGUCGCUCCUUAAUGCAUAGCAGGACUCGAUCGCAUCGGUGUGUACUGGAUGUAACUAGUCGUCAGCUCGUAGCAUGCUACGGUACUCCGUGACGUACGCAUGGAGAGAUAUAUU
rnacentral:rRNA from 1 species